ACGAAGGUGACGAGCGUUGUUCGGAAUUAUUGGGCGUAAAGCGCUCGUAGGCUGUUUAUUAAGUUUGGUGUGAAAUCCCAAGGCUCAACCUUGGAACUGCCUUGAUUACUGAUGAACUAGAGUACCGUAGAGGAAAGCGGAAUUCCAGGUGUAGCGGUGAAAUGCGUAGAUAUCCGGAGGAACACCGGUGGCGAAGGCGGCUUACUGGGCGAUAACUGACUCUGAGGUGCGAAAGCAUGGGGAGCAAACAG
rnacentral:rRNA from 1 species